UGAGAGGAAGCAAAAUGGGAGUACUGGUGGAGAGAUUGAGAGAUAUGGUUCUAGAGAAGAAAGGUGGAGAUCUCCUCCUAGCUCUAACCGAGGCAAUGGUUAUGAUUAUGGUGAGUUCAGGGAUGAGCCUGCUUAUGGAAUGAGGAAGUCACGAUCAUCUGGGGAUGUGAGAGAGUCAACACAGGAGCGGAAAGAUGUGACUCCAGCUGCUUACGGAAUGAGGAAGUCACGAUCAUCUGGGGAUGUGAGAGAGUCAACACAGGAGCGGAAAGAUGUGACUCCAUUAAGAGAGAUGAACCCUGAGAAGAUCUUUGGGAAGAUGACUCAUUUGCAGCGGUUGUUGGAUCGGUUUUUGU
rnacentral:lncRNA from 1 species